rnacentral:rRNA from 1 species
UACAGAGGUCUCAAGCGUUGUUCGGAUUCAUUGGGCGGAAAGGGUGCGUAGGCGGCGCGGUAAGUCGGGUGUGAAAUCUCGGAGCUUAACUCCGAAACUGCAUUCGAUACUGCCGUGCUUGAGGACUGGAGAGGAGACUGGAAUUUACGGUGUAGCGGUGAAAUGCGUAGAUAUCGUAAGGAAGACCAGUGGCGAAGGCGGGUCUCUGGACAGUUACUGACGCUGAGGCACGAAGGUCAGGGGAGCAAACAGG